CUAGUGUAGAGGUGAAAUUCGUAGAUAUUAGAAAGAAUACCAAUUGCGAAGGCAGCUUUCUGGAUCAUUACUGACACUGAGGAACGAAAGCAUGGGUAGCGAAGAGGAUUAGAUACCCUCGUAGUCCAUGCCGUAAACGAUGUGUGUUAGACGUUGGAAAUUUUUUUUCAGUGUCGCAGGGAAACCGAUAAACACACCGCCUGGGGAGUACGACCGCAAGGUUAAAACUCAAAUGAAUUGACGGGGACCCGCACAAGUAGUGGAGCAUGUGGUUUAAUUCGAAGAUACGCGCAGAACCUUACCAACACUUGACAUGUUCGUCGCGACUUUAAGAGAUUAGAGUUUUCGGUUCGGCCGGACGAAACACAGGUGCUGCAUGGCUGUCGUCAGCUCGUGUCGUGAGAUGUUGGGUUAAGUCCCGCAACGAGCGCAACCCUCACUUUUAGUUGCCAUCAUUAAGUUGGGCACUCUGAAAGAACUGCCAGUGAUAAGCUGGAGGAAGGUGGGGAUGACGUCAAGUCCUCAUGGCCCUUACGUGUUGGGCUACACACGUGCUACAAUGGUAUCUACAACAGGAAGCAAAACUGCGAAGUUAAGCAAAUCCCUAAAAGAUACCUCAGUUCGGAUUGCACUCUGCAACUCGAGUGCAUGAAGCUGGAAUUACUAGUAAUCGUGGAUCAGCGUGCCACGGUGAAUGCGUUCCCGGGUCUUGUACACACCGCCCGUCACACCAUGGGAGUUGGUUCUACCUUAAGGCAAGGUUUCAAACCCUUGACCACGGUAUAGUCAGCGACUGGGGUGAAGUCGUAACAAGG
rnacentral:rRNA from 1 species